rnacentral:rRNA from 1 species
CCUACGGGAGGCAGCAGUAGGGAAUCUUUCACAAUGGGCGAAAGCCUGAUGGAGCAACGCCGCGUGCAGGAUGAAGGCCUUCGGGUUGUAAACUGCUUUUAUAAGCGAGAAAUAUGAUGGUACCUUAUGAAUAAGGAUCGGCUAACUACGUGCCAGCAGCCGCGGUCAUACGUAGGAUCCGAGCAUUAUCCGGAGUGACUGGGUGUAAAGAGUUGCGUAGGUGGCAUAAUAAGUAGCUAGUGAAAUCUGGUGGCUCAACCAUUCAGACUAUUAGCUAAACUGUUAAGCUCGAGACCGUUAGGGGUAACUGGAAUUUCUAGUGUAGGAGUGAAAUCCGUAGAUAGUAGAAGGAACACCAAUAGCGUAGGCAGGUUGCUGGGACGGUUCUGACACUAAGGCACGAAAGCGUAGGGAGCAAACGGGAUUAGAUACCCGUGUAGUC